rnacentral:rRNA from 1 species
CCUACGGGUGGCAGCAGUGAGGAAUAUUGGUCAAUGGGCGCGAGCCUGAACCAGCCAAGUAGCGUGAAGGAUGACUGCCCUACGGGUUGUAAACUUCUUUUAUAAAGGAAUAAAGUGAGGCACGUGUGCCUUUAUGUAUGUACUUUAUGAAUAAGGAUCGGCUAACUCCGUUCCAGCAGCCGCGGUAAUACGGAGGGUCCGAGCGUUAUCCGGAUUUAUUGGGGUUAAAGGGAGCGUAGAGGGGUUGGUAAGUCAAAGGUGAAAUGCCCCCGCUCAACGGGGUGAAGUGCCAUUGAUACUGCGGUGCUGGAGUGCAGAUGCCGUAGGAGGAAUGUGUGGUGUAGCGGUGAAAUGCAUAGAUAUCACACAGAACACCGAUUGCGAAGGCAGCUCACGAAUCCGCGAUUGACGCUGAUGCACGAAAGCGUGGGUAUCAAACAGGAUUAGAUACCCGGGUAGUC